AGCGAACGCUGGCGGAAGGCCUAACACAUGCAAGUCGAACGAAGUCUUCGGACUUAGUGGCGGGCGGGUGAGUAACACGUGGGAACGUACCUUUUGGUUCGGAACAACUCAGGGAAACUUGAGCUAAUACCGGAUGAGCCCUCAGGGGGAAAGAUUUAUCGCCGAAAGAGCGGCCCGCGUUGGAUUAGCUAGUUGGUGAGGUAAAGGCUCACCAAGGCUACGAUCUAUAGCUGGUCUGAGAGGAUGAUCAGCCAAGCUGGGACUGAGACACGGCCCAGACUCCUACGGGAGGCAGCAGUGGGGAAUCUUGCGCAAUGGGCGAAAGCCUGACGCAGCCAUGCCGCGUGAAUGAUGAAGGUCUUAGGAUUGUAAAAUUCUUUUACCAGGGACGAUAAUGACGGUACCUGGAGAAAAAGCCCCGGCUAACUUCGUGCCAGCCGCCGCCGUAAUAC
rnacentral:rRNA from 1 species